CUAUGCGCCUUGCCAGCCCGCUCAGUCAGAGUUUGAUCCUGGCUCAGAUUGAACGCUGGCGGCAAGCCUAACACAUGCAAGUCGAGCGGCAGCGAAAGAAAGCUUGCUUUCUUGUCGGCGAGCGGCAAACGGGUGAGUAAUAUCUGGGGAUCUGCCCAAAAGAGGGGGAUAACUACUAGAAAUGGUAGCUAAUACCGCAUAAGUUGAAAAACCAAAGUGGGGGACCUUUUAUAGGCCUCAUGCUUUUGGAUGAACCCAGACGAGAUUAGCUUGUUGGUAAGGUAAAAGCUUACCAAGGCAACGAUCUCUAGCUGGUCUGAGAGGAUAACCAGCCACACUGGAACUGAGACACGGUCCAG
rnacentral:rRNA from 1 species